rnacentral:rRNA from 1 species
GACGAACGCUGGCGGCGUGCUUAACACAUGCAAGUCGAACGGAAAGGCCCUGCUUUUGUGGGGUGCUCGAGUGGCGAACGGGUGAGUAACACGUGAGUAACCUGCCCUUGACUUUGGGAUAACUUCAGGAAACUGGGGCUAAUACCGGAUAGGAGCUCCUGCUGCAUGGUGGGGGUUGGAAAGUUUCGGCGGUUGGGGAUGGACUCGCGGCUUAUCAGCUUGUUGGUGGGGUAGUGGCUUACCAAGGCUUUGACGGGUAGCCGGCCUGAGAGGGUGACCGGCCACAUUGGGACUGAGAUACGGCCCAGACUCCCACGGGAGGCAGCAGUGGGGAAUAUUGCACAAUGGGCGGAAGCCUGAUGCAGCAACGCCGCGUGCGGGAUGACGGCCUUCGGGUUGUAAACCGCUUUCGCCUGUGACGAAGCGUGAGUGACGGUAAUGGGUAAAGAAGCACCGGCUAACUACGUGCCAGCAGCCGCGGUGAUACGUAGGGUGCGAGCGUUGUCCGGAUUUAUUGGGCGUAAAGGGCUCGUAGGUGGUUGAUCGCGUCGGAAGUGUAAUCUUGGGGCUUAACCCUGAGCGUGCUUUCGAUACGGGUUGACUUGAGGAAGGUAGGGGAGAAUGGAAUUCCUGGUGGAGCGGUGGAAUGCGCAGAUAUCAGGAGGAACACCAGUGGCGAAGGCGGUUCUCUGGGCCUUUCCUGACGCUGAGGAGCGAAAGCGUGGGGAGCGAACAGGCUUAGAUACCCUGGUAGUCCACGCUGUAAACGGUGGGUACUAGGUGUGGGGUCCAUUCCACGGGUUCCGUGCCGUAGCUAACGCCUUAAGUACCCCGCCUGGGGAGUACGGCCGCAAGGCUAAAACUCAAAGGAAUUGACGGGGCCCCGCACAAGCGGCGGAGCAUGCGGAUUAAUUCGAUGCAACGCGUAGAACCUUACCUGGGUUUGACAUGGAUCGGGAGUGCUCAGAGAUGGGUGUGCCUCUUUUGGGGUCGGUUCACAGGUGGUGCAUGGCUGUCGUCAGCUCGUGUCGUGAGAUGUUGGGUUAAGUCCCGCAACGAGCGCAACCCUUGUUCACUGUUGCCAGCACGUUAUGGUGGGGACUCAGUGGAGACCGCCGGGGUCAACUCGGAGGAAGGUGGGGAUGACGUCAAGUCAUCAUGCCCCUUAUGUCCAGGGCUUCACGCAUGCUACAAUGGCUGGUACAGAGAGUGGCGAGCCUGUGAGGGUGAGCGAAUCUCGGAAAGCCGGUCUCAGUUCGGAUUGGGGUCUGCAACUCGACCUCAUGAAGUCGGAGUCGCUAGUAAUCGCAGAUCAGCAACGCUGCGGUGAAUACGUUCCCGGGGCU